UACGGAGGGCGCAAGCGUUAUUCGGAAUCACUGGGCGUAAAGCGCGUGUAGGCGGCCGGGUAAGUCGGAUGUGAAAUCUCGAGGCUCAACCUUGGAACUGCAUUCGAAACUGCUCGGCUCGAGUCCCGGAGAGGAUGGCGGAAUUCCCGGUGUAGGGGUGAAAUCCGUAGAUAUCGGGAGGAACACCAGUGGCGAAGGCGGCCAUCUGGACGGUGACUGACGCUGAGACGCGAAAGCUUGGGGAGCAAACAGG
rnacentral:rRNA from 1 species